UCUGUGUUUUGAAUCUUUUCUUGUACUUUUCGAAGAAAAAAAAAAUGUGGGUGCUUAACUGGCAUUUUUUAAUUAUAUGUGAUUCAUAGACACUACACGAGAAUGGGGGAAAACAUUUCAUAUUUACAGGAUCAGCAAUCCCAAGUUGGUUGAAUUGCAGUAGCAAGGGUCCAUCCCUGCGUUUCUGGUUUCGUAACAAGUUUCCCGAAAUUACUCUAUGUGCUGCUGGACUUUUUCGUUCGUUCGAUCACCGUGUGUGGCACCUGAUGGUCAAUGACAUACUACAGUUCUCGGUAUAUUGUUGUGUUAUAGAUCAUUCAUUUCAGGUUGAGACAAAUCAUACUUUUGUGUAUGAUCCUCUUGAAAUAAGGGUUAUCACAAAUGAAGAAUUACAUAUUAAGAAUGGGUGGAACAGUGCUGAGAUUUUGUUUGACUAUCAUGAAUGGAUGGGAGUACAUGUACCGGAACAAAAAUCAAACAUGGCAGAUAUUCAAUUUUCAAAUCCCUACUCUUCAAUGUCAAAGUAACAAAAACGCACCGAUAAUCUUUUAUAGGUUUCAGGUUACACUUGCAUGGUCAUGACUGACCUAUGCUGCCUCAAGCAAUACCACAACUUAAAGCUUUAAGAGCCAAGCGAUUUGUCUGCUGAAUCAAAGAAAUGAAGAUGAUUUCAAGGUCAAAGCCAAACCAACUAUAGCUGCAUUGUAGUUCAGUCAGGUGACACUUGUGUUUCAAGAACAGGGGAGUGUACACCAAUGCAAGAUACAGGUUAACUAAGCAUUGAAAGGCUUACGCUUGGGAAGUAUCAAUGUGGUCCCUUCUGAUUCUCUAUCAGAGACUCUUUCCUUUCUUAGAUCACAUUUUAAGCUACUUCUAUGCUUCCAUCCAUUCCUUCUGUUAAAUCCAUAUUUGUUGUACAAGAGUUUUCAGUAUUUUUGUGUAUUAUGUUGUUUGUUA